UUCUUGCAUGUGAUACUAUUGUAAGUUGUAGGAACUGCUGGAUGACAUAGGAAAACCCGUCACAUCUUCAUCAGGACAUAAAGAGAAGAUGGGAGUGAGGACUUCAACCUGAUAGACCCUAGCUUUCUCUCUUCAGACCCUUUUCAUCAAUCACACAGCACUUGAUGAAAAUUUCCAUCCACCAAAAGUCAAUGUGACUUCAGUGGCAACUCCCUGGAUAGUCACUACAUGCAAGGAUAUGGCACCAAUCCCUGGAUGAUCUGUCUGAGAACCGCUGCCUUGGAUCAGCACUGGAACUAGUUACUUGAUGCCAAGAACUAUACUUAGCAAUUAGUGACAUUAAGCUGUUUAGACAUAAGGAUAAAGACAUGGUGCAUUGUUUAUAGUUGAGAAAUGAUUGUUUUUCUGUCAAUGUCCUAUUUCAUAAGAAUGCUAUCAUAAUAAAAGGUUUUGCAAUCAAA